GCAGAUGUAGCUCAGUGGUAGAGCACUUGCCUAGUAUGUGUGAGGCAAUGGGUUCCAUCUGUA
rnacentral:tRNA from 1 species